rnacentral:lncRNA from 1 species
GUAAACUAAAACCAAGAGUAACAGAUACUCAAAAGUGAUCACAUUCUAAUUACCUUACUAUAUGUUACUAUUAUCUGUACUUUUGAGGUGAUUGACCUCUCUUGUAUCUGUAUGGUGGAAGUAUUUUAUCAUAAUGUACUACUGCAUCUUUCUGUUCUGUUUUCAGUGAACUUAUUUUAUAGUCUGAAAUCAGUAAUGGUAGAGUACUCAGCUGUUGAAAAUUGCUAAUCUUGUUUAAUUGUUUUGUGACUUGUCCAGAUUUUAGAAGAUGCUGUAGAAAAAUUUAAUAAUGCAUAUAAAAUUUAAGAGAUUUCAAAUUUGUGACUGUUGCAUUGUGAAUAGCCCCCAAAUUUAAAGAGUUGUUAUUCUAGUAUUCAAAAAACCAUUAUUCAAUAGUUGUUUGCAUUAUUGAUGAAUGGAUGGAGUUCUGAAUUGAUGGAUAAAUACAUGUUCACCUUUGCCUCAUUUACUAAUGUAAAUGAAACCAUCAACCAGCAUUCAAGUUGGAGUUAAACGCAUUCAACUGCAACCAUGGGUUGACGGAACAUAAUAGUUUGGAAAAUCAAAAACAUUCUCUGAACAUCAAUUGGCUGCACUGAUUUUACACACACAAAAACGAAUAUUUUUAUUUGUCAAUUAUGUUCUAUACAUCCUUUUAUCAGUAAAAUGACAAACAAGUAUCUAUACAUACUUUUAUUUUCCUGAAAGACAUAUGUAAGAGAGAUACAGAGAAAUACUAACUUAGCAAUAAAGUUGCUAAGUUAGUAUUCUGUUUUAGAGGAUCACCAAUUAUUAGAAAGUUCUCAUAUGUAAUAGAAAUCAACAUGUACGUUAAAAAAUUUAGUUGAUUGAAAUACUUGAUCUUUGGGACUUCCAUUAAAUAAGUCAUGUUUAAAUUGUAGCCGUUAAACUCUUUUUCUCUGAGGUUCCUACAACUUUCUCCUCUGGGACAAAAAGGUUUAAUUCCUUCAGAAUAGUUCUAAUUCCUCUUUCUCUAGAAAAAAAUAAUCCUAAUUUGUUUUUCAUAUAGACCUGAUUUAAUUUUUAAGCUGUUCUUAUUGU